UUUUUGACCAAGAAAUGGUCUCCACCAGAAAUCCAAGAAUGUGAUCUAUGGCAAGGAAACAUAUGUGGGGUGAGGUGUACGAGCCUCUGGUCGAUGAUCAAUGGCCACACAACCCCCAUUUUGCCGAAAAUAGCCAUGAAGACCAUUUUCAAUAAUACCGAAGGCUAACACGUACGAGUUUUUGACCAAGAAAUGGUCUCCACCAGAAAUCCAAGAAUGUGAUCUAUGGCAAGGAAACAUAUGUGGGGUGAGGUUAUGAGCCUCUGUCGAUGAUAAUGGCCACACAACCCCCAUUUUCGAAAAUAGCCAUGACGACCAUUUUCAUAUUGAGGCUAAACUACGAUUUUUGACCAAAAUGUUACCGAUAGAUGGUCUAUGGCAUUUGUGGGGUUGGUGGGCCCAUGCUUCGUUGCGCCGAAGGUCUUGCGUGAAGAAGCAGCUUCGGCUGAAAUCGUCCCCAGGAAAUGGCCGAAGGUUCCUUUUUUAUAGAGCUUCGGCAUUGCAAACCGACAUAGAGAUAGAAUGACCUUUUUAUCCAUAGAGGUCUAACAUAAUGUUGUAAACUUUUGUAAAGGGCAUAAUUGUAAUUCGUCACAGGCUGCGUCCUGUGUCUAUAAAUAGAUGAACAGUACCCCCGUACUGUUCACGCUGACUUGGCAUUUGCUUUGGCGUCACGCUUGUACUUUUCACCUUCUCUCAGGACCGAAGGUACAUUUGUAAUUGAAUUAUUUCUAUUUUUCCAUGUUAAUAAAAUAGAAAUGAUUCUAUGAUGAUGCUUAUAUUUAUUUCAUGCUUUAUAUGAGUCUUCGUCAUUAUUGUUAUGUUUACGAAGGUAUGUCUCUUAUGACCUUCGUCCGAACUCAUUAUUUCCCGAAGGGACAUAAUGCUUGAAGGACGAAGGACUUUAACACUUAACACUUUUUAUGUUGCCUUGUUCUUAACUCUUAGCAUUUGAGAACAAGUCCCCAACAUUGGCGCCCACCUCCGGUGAACUCACUUCCACUUUUCUGAGCUGAUGGCUUCGUUCAACAAUCAAGCUGGAGUUGCUUCGGACCCGAAGCUGGUGCUCCCGAUCACAGGUGGCUCGUCCUCAGAGCCAGCUAACAAGAAGCAGAAGAAGGAAGCGCAGAGAAGAGUACAGCAUGUUGGGGUGCAAGGACCCUUCAUCAAAUCAAGAUGGUCUCACAUUCCUAUUACCUUCUCUCAAGAGGACCUUCACUCAAAGAUUACCCACACAACGAUGCCAUGGUUAUCUCUUGUGUUAUCAAAGGAUUUCUGGUUCACAAUGUCUUGGUCGAUACAGGCAGUGCAGCUGACAUCAUAUUUGCUAAAGCCUUCAGACAGAUGCAAGAGCCAGAAGAUAAGAUUCAUGAUGCUACACAUCCUCUUUGUGGCUUCGGAGGAAGACAGAUUGUAGCACUGGGCAAGAUCACCAUGUCAGUAACCUUCGGAUUCAUCAACAACACUAGAACUGAGCAAGUUGUGUUUGACAUUGUUGACAUGGAAUAUCCUUACAAUGCAAUUAUUGGUCGUGGUACUCUUAAUGCCUUCGAAGCAAUCCUUCAUCCUGCCUAUCUUUGCAUGAAGAUACCUUCGGACCAAGGGCCUAUUGCUAUCCAUGGAAGCCAGGAAGCUGCUAGAAGGGCCGAAGGAAGCUGGACCGACUCCAAGGCAAUCCAUAAUAUAGAUGGAACUGAAGCUUGUGAACAGUACAAAUUCAGAAGGGAGAAGGCAGCUUCAGCAGAUCAGCCGAAGCCCAUGCUAUUGUGUGAGGACAUAGCAGAGCAGAAGGUGCUGUUGGGCUCGCAAUUAUCUGAAGACCAGGAGAAAACCUUGAUAAGGUUUUUAUUCAACAACAAAGAUGUUUUUGCAUGGUCGGCUAAUGAUCUCUGUGGAGUAAAUCGGGAUGUUAUUGAACAUUCGCUCAAUGUUGACCCAUCCUUCAGACCCCGAAAGCAGAGGCUUCGGAAAAUGUCUGAUGACAAGGCCGAAGGGGCUCGCAAUGAAGUAAAAAGACUCCUCAGUGCAGGAGUUAUCAGAGAAGUGAAGUAUCCAGAGUGGCUAGCUAACACUGUUAUGGUGAAGAAGGCCAAUGGCAAGUGGAGAAUGUGUAUCGAUUUCACAGAUCUCAACAAGGCUUGUCCGAAGGACGAAUUCCCGUUGCCAAGGAUAGACUCUCUAGUCGAUGCAGCAGCUUCUUCAGAGCUCAUGAGUCUCUUGGACUGUUACUCAGGUAUCAUCAAAUCUGGAUGAAAAAGGAAGAUGAGCCGAAAACUAGCUUCAUAACUCCAAGUGGCACGUAUUGCUAUCUUCGGAUGCCUGAGGGGCUCAAAAACGCUGGAGGAAGUUUCAGCAGAAUGACUGCGAAGGUUCUUCAGUCUCAAAUAGGCAGAAAUGUGUUGACCUAUGUUGAUGACAUUAUCGUCAAAAGCACGAAGCAGGAAAAUCAUAUUGUUGAUCUGCAGGAGACCUUCGCCAGCUUCAGACAAGCUGGUUUGAAGCUGAAUCCAGAGAAAUGUGUCUUCGGAGUAAAGAAGGGUAAAUUUCUUGGAUGCUUGGUUUCAACAAAGGGAAUCGAAGCUAAUCCAAAUAAAAUCGAAGCUAUACUUCGAAUGGAGCCACCAACUACAAGAAAAGGGGCCCAAAGAUUGACAGGAAGGCUGGCAUCUCUCAACAGAUUUAUAUCCAGAUCAGCAGAAAGAAACUUACCAUUUUUCGAGGUGCUGAAGUCAGCCGAAGUCUUUCAAUGGGGCCCAAGUCAACAAAAAGCCUUCGAAGAGUUGAAGCAAUACUUGAUAGAUCUCACAACAUUAACUCCGCCAACGCCAGGGGCUCCUCUGUUGUUAUAUGUGGCAGCUUCGCACUCAGCAGUAAGUGCGGCGCUUGUCCAGGAGAAGCUUUAUGGCCAGCUUAAGAAGCAAGUUCCAGUGUAUUUUGUAUCUGAGGUCCUUAGUGUCUCAAAGAAAAAUUAUACAGAGCUGGAGAAGGUAUUAUAUGCCGUUUUAAUGGCAUCCAGGAAGCUUCGGCAUUAUUUUCAGGCAUACAAUAUCAUUGUUCCUUCUUCGCAGCCGUUGAAGGAUAUAAUGAGAAAUAGAGAAGCUACUGGACGGAUUGGGAAAUGGGCUGCAGAGCUCAACGAAUUUUACAUUGAUUAUGUGCAUAGAUCUUCGAUCCAGUCUCAAGCAUUGGCAGAUUUCAUUGCCGACUGGACGCCAGGGGCUCAGGAUGAAGAAGCAAAUAAAGAUGCCGAAGUGUGGACAGUGUUUUGUGAUGGCUCUUGGGGAAUCUUCGGAGCAGGUGCAGCUGCUGUGUUGGUUUCACCAUCCAAGGUCAAAACUUGUUAUGCAGCAAGACUUGAUUUCAGCUGCACGAACAAUAUUGCUGAGUACGAAGCCCUGCUUUUGGGCCUUCGGAAAUUAAAGGCAAUGGGAAUCAGAAGGGCAAUUCUUAAAACUGAUUCCCAGGUGGUUUCGGGUCAUGUUGACAAAAGUUGCAAGGCUAAAGAUCCGAAGCUUGAAAAAUAUCUAGAUACGGUCCGAAGGAUCGAAGCAUCCUUCGAAGGAUUCUCUGUCAAGAAUAUUCCUCGAGGACAAAAUGAGCAUGCUGAUUUGCUAGCUAAGUCUGCGGCACAGGGGCUGCCGUUACCUUCGGAUGUGUUCUUCGAAACAAUAAAGGCACCUUCAGUGGAGCUCCUUGAAAGAGCAGUCCUCAACAUAUCUCCUGUUUACAGCGAAGAUUGGAGAACUGAAAUAAUCUCUUACCUUCAGGGUAAGUUCCUUUCAGAUGACGAAGCUUACAAUAAAAGAAUAGAGGCAAGAGCUCGUCCGUAUGUCAUGAUAGAAGGGGAAUUAUACAAACAUGGAGUUUGCGCUCCGCUGCUCAAGUGCUUAUCUAGAGCCGAAGGUAUAGAGUUGAUGAAAGAGAUACAUGCAGGCCUGUGUGGAUCCCACAUCGGAUCCAGGCCAUUACUUGGGAAAGUCUUCCGCCAAGGGUUUUAUUGGCCGAAGGCAGCUUCGGAUGCGGCGGAGUUAGUGCAAAAGUGCGAAGGUUGUCAGAAAUGUGCAAGAGAUCAAAAACAACCUUCGUCUUUGACACAGCUGAUACAACCCAUCUGGCCAUUGCAAAGGUGGGGCCUUGACUUGUUGGGUCCAUUACCACCGGCUCAAGGGAAUCUAAAAUAUGUUAUAGUGGCUGUGGAGUAUUUUUCCAAGUGGAUUGAGGCGAAGCCAUUGGCCACAAUAACUUCGGCCACUGUCCAAAAGUUUUUCUGGCAGAAUAUUGUCUGUCGCUUCGGGGUACCGAAGGCAAUCACUGUAGAUAAUGGAACGCAGUUUGACUCCGAAGCUUUCAGAAAUUUCUGUGAUCAAAUUGGAACGAAGAUCCAUUUUGCAUCAGUCAGGCAUCCGGAGUCAAAUGGGCUCGUUGAAAGGGCCAACGGCAUUAUAAUGACAGGAAUAAUGAAGUUAAUCUUCAAUCAACCCAGGGGAAAGUGGCCAGAUCAGUUAAUCAAAGUGGUGUGGAGCCACAAUACAACAACAUCAAGGUCUACAGGCUUUACCCCAUUCAAAUUAUUAUUCGGUGACGAAGCAAUAACUCCGGAGGAAGCAAAAGCUGGAUCAGUAAGAGUAGUAGCUUCGGCAGAAUCAGGUCCCGAAGAUGCUUGCCUUGUGGAAAAGGAUGCUUUAGAAGGGAUCAGGCUUCAGGCCGUGGAGAAUAUCAAUAAAUAUCAGGCUGAAACAGUUAAAUGGCGAGAUAGAAAAGUCCGGCUAAAAAAUAUUGAGCCGGGACACUUGGUGCUUCGGAGAGUGGCUAACCCAGAUACAGUGGGUAAGCUACAGUUGAAAUGGGAAGGACCAUUCUUAGUAGUAUCUUCGUCAAGGCCUGGAUCAUACAGAUUGAAGGACAUGGAUGGCAACGAAAUUCCAAGGUCUUGGAAUGCGGAUGAGCUUCGGCGAUACUAUGUAUAACAUGAUGUAAUUUUUUAUGUUUUUCUUUUCUUUUCAUGGCACCCUUUUCCUUUCCGAAGGGGGAGAAAGGUUUUUAAUGGGGCCAUCAUGUGUAAUUUCCUUUUUUAGUCUUAUAAGAGCAAAAUCCCCCAAAAAAUGUAAAUGUAACAGCUGAGAACGCACCAUCGAGUGCAGAAACUGAAAAAGAAAAAAGAGAAGAAGCUCCAAAGACGUUCCUAAGGGAAUGCAGAGCUUAUACCGCCUAAGUAAAAGGCGAAGAAACUCCAAAGACGUUCCUAAGGGAAUGCAGAGUUUAUACCGUCUAAGUAAAAGACGAAGAAGCUCCAAAGACGUUCCUAAGGGAAUGCAGAGCUUAUACCGCCUAAGUAAAAGGCGAAGAAACUCCAAAGACGUUCCUAAGGGAAUGCAGAGUUUAUACCGUCUAAGUAAAAGACGAGGAAGCUCCAAAGUCGUUCCUAAGGGAAUGCAGAGCUGAUGUGUGGUUGAUUCCAAGGAAAUAAUGGUUGAGUGUGGCUUCGGUUAUAUGCUUUGGACAUUCAUUCGCACAUUACAUCAUAGCAUUUGCAUUCAUAAGCAUUCAUUCAUAGCAUUUGUGUUCCUAAGUGGUUGCUUCGGCAAAAGGAAGAAGUGGUCUUUUAUGUUUCGUCAUGUACAAAAAGAAAAAGCUUCGGCAAAGAAGAAGCGGCUUUUAUGUUUCGUCAUGUACAAAAAGAAAAAGCUUCGGCAAGAGGAAGAAGCGGUCUUUUAUGUUUCGUCAUGUACAAAAAAGAAAAGCUUCGGCAAAAAGAAGAAAUGGUCUUUUAUGCUUCGUUGUGUACGAAAAGAAGGGAAGGUGUUUUUUCGCCUUCGGCUCAAAAUACUGAUUUCGUCCACAUCAAAGCGUCUCAAUAAAAGGGUAAGAAUAUAUUACAAGGUAUGAACAAAGUUCCUUGAGAAUAGAUUAAUUGUAUUUACAAAAAGUUGUUACAAAUUCUCCUGAGUUUUUUCUAGUCUACUCCUAUUAAUCUUCGUCAGGUUUCUGCUUCGGCGGCAUAUCCUUUAAGUAUCACCUUCAGCUUCGUCAUCCUACAUGAAUCAAGGUAUCCCGAGUAAAAAUCAAGUGUGAAGGAGAAGGUAAGUACAAAGUAUGAUUUCUUACUGGUUCAAGAUGACUUCGAGCUUCGUCCCCAGCCUUCUCUCGCCCGCCUUUUGUCCAUAUCAUUUUUAUGAAUCUAUUUGAGAUGCUCCGGGCGAGGUCAGGAAUGUCGUCGAGAAUUGAUGGAGACAGGGCGAAGUUGGGCCUGUUGACAAUCUUUCCAUGCUCGCAGCCAGCCUUCAGGAAUGCUGCAGCAGUACCCCGAGAAGCUACCCAGGCACAGAAGUCACCGUGCCCAGCUAUAACUUCGUCAAGUUCUUCAAUUUCAGCUUCGAUAUGAUCGAAGGCUUUUGGUAAAUCUUCAUCCGAAGGGGUAAAUUUCCCGCUGCUGGCUCCAACUGAGUAAAAGAUCUUCUUUAGUUGUUGGAUACAAUUGUUGCUAAAAUUCAAACAUUUAUCCUGAAGGCUUGUUAAUGAUUUCUUCAAAUUUGAGUUGGCUUGGACUUCGGCUUCAAGUUUCGAAUCAAGUUCUAGCUUCUCUUGUUCAAAUUGUUUUGAUUGGCAGAGAAGCUUCGAAUUCAAUUCUGCUACUUUGGCUUCAGUCUCUGCCAGCAAGCCUUCGGUUGAUUGAAGUUCGAAGUCUUUCUUUUCAAUAAUAGCUGAUUGUUCUUUUAUCUUGCUCUCUAAAUUUUCAAUUAUAGCUUCGUGCUUCUUAUCUUCUAGAUCUUGCUGCAUCCUCAAAGCUUUGCUUAGAAGCAUGCUCUGCAAAUAAACAACCUUCGUUAAAGAAUAUUGCCAUUAUUAAAAAACAAUAGAAGUUAGAGAGAAGGAUGUUUACCUUGAAAUUUGAAUAAAAUAAGCUGCCGACGAUAUGUUGUCGUCGGUAGCGGCUGAUGUCUGUCUCUAGUUUCGGAAAACCGAUACUCUUUGAUAGAGUACCGAUGACCUUAGCCCCAGCUGAGUCCCGGAUGCAGCCCAGUUUUUCAUCAUCAAUGCCUCCAAAUAGAAGAGCUCCUGGCUUGUAUCCGCAAGAUUUGGCGUAUUCCUUAAGCUCUUCUUUUUCGGCCUUCGACAGUUUUUGCCCGACUAAAUUUUGAAAUGAAGUAGGCUUCGUCGUCCGAAGUGUCUUCGGCUAUUUCUUUCCCUUUCCCAGGCACUGUGGCCAUGGUUUCUUCAGCAGUGGUGGCAGCUUCUUCUGCAGCCAUGUCUGUUAAAAUUUUGUUGAUGUCUUCAAUAGUAGAUUCUAAGUUUACAUCUUCGGCUGUAGCGGCUUCGGUAGCCGCGACCUCCGAAGGUGCGACUUCGACAUUUUCUGUGCCCUCAACAGCUGGUGUUUUCUGAAUUGACGCCCUCGGUGGCGUCUUGUCAAUAACUUCUGUUACGGCAAUAAUUCUUUGCCUUUUCGCUUUGGCUAUCUUCGUUUUUCCCGGCUCCGCCACCUUUUGAAAAAGCUUCGUCAGUCGAGGCCCUAAUGGACUUAGCUUCGUGGGCAUGGGUUCAGUCAUUACCUUUAGAAUUUCCUCCACGUCGCUAGUAGAAGGUGGUGUGGGGGUCCCCUCUUCUUCGGAUAGUUUUCGCUUUGGAGUUGAUAUUUUUCUCUUGACAAUUUUCUUCUUUUUUGGUGGUUGUUCUUCAUCCUUGUUUAAAGCUUCGGCCGCUCUUUUUCUUCUCUGGCCCUCAGCACCCUUGUUCAGCUGCGCAUAAUCAGGAUAUUCGAAACCCAGUGCAUCAAGCACUCGGUUCAGCCUUCGCUUCGGACGGGUGCCGAAGGCUGCUGUCAUCAGUUGAUCUUCUUUUUUCGAAUAAUUUCCAAGAAUUUCAUUACACAUCACCUCAACUGUAUCCAGCCACUCUUGGCAGGGCUUCUUAAAAUAUUUCUUGAAUUUGAAGUGGUAAGGAAGCCGGACAAGAUCCCCUUCCUUCUUCUCCCCCUUUAACUUUGGCAUUUCCCAUUUUUUCAGAGUAGGGAAGACUCUGAAUGCUAAGAAUUCUUGAACCAGAUCCCUGGUACCAAUAUGCUCUGCAAUGAUCCUGAAUUCAUCCAUUGCCCGUUGAGUUUGACCCUCUGGUGUCAUGUUGCAGUGGGGUCGGGUUUCUCCGAAAGUUAGCUCGAGUGGACUUUGCACAAGCUUCUCCUUGUCCUCAUCAACCUUGACAUAGAACCAUUCUGAUUUCCAGCCUGCCGGCCAUUUGCUUCGGUAGCUGAUUACAGGAAACUUUGCGGUUUUCCGGUAGGCAAAAUUGUAGCAACCGAAGUUUUCAUGAAGCCCAUCUUUUCUGGCCUUUGUUUGAUAAUGCAAUUCAUGAACUCGACAGAAACUGUCAGCAAAAGGCUCCACUGCUUGGCUUCGGAGGGCCCAAAUAUAAACGCUAAGCCUAACGAUAGCGUUAGGAGUUAACUGAUGAAGGUAGAUGCCAAACCUCUUCAAUAUCUCCGCAACAAUCUCGUGAACAGGGAAUCUUAGCCCAGCCUUUAAAAAGCUUUUGAAGAUGACAACCUCGUCCUUCUCUGGCUUCGGGGUGGUCUCUUCUCCCCCGAAGCGAAGUAGCUUCUUCUGAUCUUCACUGAAAAAACCUGCUUUCACCAUCUUGGCGAGAUCAACCUUUGAAACAGUCGAUUUUCCGAAGUCUAGGUGGCUGGGUUUGCUGGGCAUGGCAAUACGGUAGUCAUCUUCGGAGUCGGUUUCUUCAAUGUUCCCUUCUCCUUCGGCAGCUGUCGGGUUUGCUUCGGCAGCAGGCAUUUCUUCCGCAGUCACCAGUCCGGAGCGCUGCAUCGCUUCGGAGAUGGGCACAGUCUCCGAAGCUUCAGUUUCGUCCCCCUCACGCUCAACCCUAGCUGUAGAGCGAACUCUGGCCAUUUAAUUAUGAACUUGUGAAACUUGGUACUUUUUUCUCCGAAGCAGGCUUCAAGAUGGAGCUUCGUUCAAAUCUGACAAACUAGCUUCGGUGGUGGUUAAAAAUUUUGGCAGCAAAACAGUGCAAAUAGCAGUAAAUGCUGUGGUAACUUCACACCUACUCGUCUGUUUAUAUAGUGCUGCAGGUAAGAAGGCGAAGCGGCAGGGUUUUUACACCAGGCGGGCAGUAACUUGUACUCGCUGCGCAGUGGACCGCAAAGACCAAACAGUGACUCUGCAAGGUGGGACCGACACGAUCUCGGGAAAUGAAUCGUUUCUCGGCAACGAGCUCAGGGAAGGUGUUUUUUGGACCUUCGGCUUCCCGAAGCUUGAGAGGAUUUUUUCACGGUUCAAGCUCGUUACGAAAAACGAUCUAGCGCCGCGAAAGGGGCUACUGUUGGGCCCAUGCUUCGUUGCGCCGAAGGUCUUGCGUGAAGAAGCAGCUUCGGCUGAAAUCGUCCCCAGGAAAUGGCCGAAGGUUCCUUUUUUAUAGAGCUUCGGCAUUGCAAACCGACAUAGAGAUAGAAUGACCUUUUUAUCCAUAGAGGUCUAACAUAAUGUUGUAAACUUUUGUAAAGGGCAUAAUUGUAAUUCGUCACAGGCUGCGUCCUGUGUCUAUAAAUAGAUGAACAGUACCCCGUACUGUUCACGCUGACUUGGCAUUUGCUUUUGCGUCACGCUUGUACUUUUCACCUUCUCUCAGGACCGAAGGUACAUUUGUAAUUUGAAAUCAUUUCUAUUUUUCCAUGUUAAUAAAAUAGAAAUGAUUCUAUGAUGAUGCUUAUAUUAUAUUUCAUGCUUUAUAUGAGUCCUUCGUCAUUACUUGUUAUGUUUACGAAGGUAUGUCUCUAUGACCUUCGUCCGAGACUCAUUAUUUCCCGAAGGGACAUAAUGCUUCGAAGGACGAAGGACUUUAACACUUAACACUUUUUAUGUUGCCUUGUUCUUAACUCUUAGCAUUUGAGAACAAGUCUCCAACAGAGCCUAUGGUCGAUGAUCAAUGGCCACACAACCCCCAUUUUGUCGAAAAUAGCCAUGAAUGACCAUUUACAAUAAUACCGAAGGCUAACACCUACGGAUUUUUGACCAAGAAAUGGUCUCCACCAGAAAUCCAAGAAUGUGAUCUAUGGCAAGGAAACAUAUGUGGGGUGAUGUGUAUGAGCCUCUGGUCGAUGAUCAAUGGCCACACAACCCCCAUUUUUGUCGAAAAUAGCCAUGAACGACCAUUUUCAAUAAUAUCGAAGGCUAACACCUACGGAUUUUUGACCAAGAAAUGGUCUCCACCAGAAAUCCAAGAAUGUGAUCUAUGACAAGGAAACAUUUGUGGGGUGAGGUGUAUGAGCCUCUGGUCGACGAUCAAUGGCCACACAACCCCCAUUUUGCCGAAAAUAGCCAUGAAUGACCAUUUUCAAUAAUACCGAAGGCUAACACGUACGAGUUUUUAACCAAGAAAUGGCUUCCACCAGAAAUCCAAGAAUGUAAUCUAUGGCAAGGAAACAUAUGUGGGGUGAGGUUUAUGAGCCUCUAGUCGAUGAUAAAUGGCCACACAACCCCCAUUUUUUAUGAAAAUAGCCAUGAGCGACCUUGAAAAUAGCCAUGAGCGACCAUUUUCAAUAAUACUAGAGGCUAACACCUACGGAUUUUAGACCAAGAAAUGGUCUCCACCAGAAAUCCAAGAAUGUGAUCUACGACAAGGAAACAUAUGUGGGGUGAGGUGUAUGAGCCUCUGGUCGACGAUCAAUGGCCACACAACCCCCAUUUUGCCGAAAAUAGCCAUGAAUGACCAUUUUCAAUAAUACCGAAGGCUAACACGUACGAGUUUUUAACCAAGAAAUGGCUUCCACCAGAAAUCCAAGAAUGUAAUCUAUGGCAAGGAAACAUAUGUGGGGUGAGGUUUAUGAGCCUCUAGUCGAUGAUAAAUGGCCACACAACCCCCAUUUUUUAUGAAAAUAGCCAUGAGCGACCUUGAAAAUAGCCAUGAGCGACCAUUUUCAAUAAUACUAGAGGCUAACACCUACGGAUUUUAGACCAAGAAAUGGUCUCCACCAGAAAUCCAAGAAUGUGAUCUAUGGCAAGGAAACAUAUGUGGGGUGAGGUGUAUGAGCGUCUGGUCGAUGAUCAAUGGACACACAACCCCCAUUUUUGUCGAAAAUAGCCAUGAACGACCAUUUUCAAUAAUACCGAAGGCUAACACCUACGGAUUUUUGACCAAGAAAUGGUCUCCACCAAUAAUCCAAGAAUGUGAUUUAUGGCAAAGAAACAUAUGUGGGGUGAGGUGUAUGAGCCUCUUGUCGACGAUCAAUGGCCACACAACCCUAAUUUUUGUCGAAAAUAGCCAUGAACGACCAUUUUCAAUGACACUGAAGGCUAACACCUACGGAUUUUUGACCAAGAAAUGGUCUCCACCAUAAAUCCAAGAAUGUGAUCUAUGGCAAGGAAACAUAUGUGUAGUGAGGUGUAUGAGCCUCUGGUCGAAGAUCAAUGGCCACACAACCCCCAUUUUUGUCGAAAAUAGCCAUGAAUGACCAUUUUCAAAAAUACCAAAGGCUAACACGUACGGAUUUUUGACCAAGAAAUGGUCUCCACCAGAAAUCCAAGAAUGUGAUCUAUGUCAAGGAAACAUAUGUGGGGUGAGGUGUACGAGCCUCUGGUCGAUGAUCAAUGGCCACACAACCCCCAUUUUGCCGAAAAUAGCCAUGAACGACCAUUUUCAAUAAUACCGAAGGCUAACACGUACGAGUUUUUAACCAAGAAAUGGUCUCCACCAGAAAUCCAAGAAUGUGAUCUAUGGCAAUGAAACAUAUGUGGGGUGAGGUUUAUGAGCCUCUAGUCGAUGAUAAAUGGCCACACAACCCCCAUUUUUUAUGAAAAUAGCCAUGAGCGACCUUCAAAAUAGCCAUGAGCGACCAUUUUCAAUAAUACUAGAGGCUAACACCUACGGAUUUUAGACCAAGAAAUGGUCUCCACCAGAAAUCCAAGAAUGUGAUCUAUGGCAAGGAAACAUAUGUGGGGUGAGGUGUAUGAGCGUCUGGUCGAUGAUCAAUGGCCACACAACCCCCAUUUUUGUCGAAAAUAGCCAUGAACGACCAUUUUCAAUAAUACCUAGGCUAACACCUACGGAUUUUUGACCAAGAAAUGGUCUCCACCAGAAAUCCAAGAAUGUGAUCUAUGGCAAGGAAACAUAUGUGGGGUGAGGUGUAUGAGCCUCUGGUCGACGAUCAAUGGCCACACAACCCUAAUUUUUGUCGAAAAUAGCCAUGAACGACCAUUUUCAAUGACACUGAAGGCUAACACCUACGGAUUUUUGACCAAGAAAUGGUCUCCACCAUAAAUCCAAGAAUGUGAUCUAUGGCAAGGAAACAUAUGUGUAGUGAGGUGUAUGAGCCUCUGGUCGAAGAUCAAUGGCCACACAACCCCCAUUUUUGUCGAAAAUAGCCAUGAAUGACCAUUUUCAAAAAUACCAAAGGCUAACACAUUCGAUUUUUGCCCAAGAAAUGGUCUCCACCAGAAAUCCAAGAAUGUGAUCUAUGGCAAGGAAACAUAUGUGGGGUGAGGUGUACGAGCCUCUGGUCGAUGAUCAAUGGCCACAGAACCCCCAUUUUGCCGAAAAUAGCCAUGAACGACCAUUUUCAAUAAUACCGAAGGCUAACACGUACGAGUUUUUGACCAAGAAAUGGUCUCCACCAAAAAUCCAAGAAUGUGAUCUAUGGCAAGGAAACAUAUGUGGGGUGAGAUUUAUGAGCCUCUAGUCGAUGAUAAAUGGCCACACAACCCCCAUUUUUUUAUGAAAAUAGCCAUGAGCGACCAUUUUCAAUAAUAUUAGAGGCUAAGACCUACGGAUUUUUGACCAAGAAAUGGUCUCCACCAGAAAUCCAAGAAUGUGAUCUAUGGCAAGGAAACAUAUGUGGGGUGAGGUGUAUGAGCCUCUGGUCGAUGAUCAAUGGCCACACAACCCCCAUUUUUGUCGAAAAUAGCCAUGAAUGACCAUUUACAAUAAUACCGAAGGCUAACACCUACGGAUUUUUUACCAAGAAAUGGUCUCCACCAGAAAUCCAAGAAUGUGAUCUAUGGCAAGGAAACAUAUGUGGGGUGAGGUGUAUGAGCCUCUGGUCGAUGAUCAAUGGCCACACAACCCCAUUUUUGUCAAAAUAGCCAUGAACGACCAUUUUCAAUAAUAUCGAAGGCUAACACCUACGGAUUUUUGACCAAGAAAUGGUCUCCACCAGAAAUCCAAGAAUGUGAUCUACGACAAGGAAACAUAUGUGGGGUGAGGUGUAUGAGCCUCUGGUCGACGAUCAAUGGCCACACAACCCCCAUUUUGCCGAAAAUAGCCAUGAAUGACCAUUUUCAAUAAUACCGAAGGCUAACACGUACGAGUUUUUAACCAAGAAAUGGUUUCCACCAGAAAUCCAAGAAUGUAAUCUAUGGCAAGGAAACAUAUGUGGGGUGAGGUUUAUGAGCCUCUAGUCGAUGAUAAAUGGCCACACAACCCCCAUUUUUUAUGAAAAUAGCCAUGAGCGACCUUGAAAAUAGCCAUGAGCGACCAUUUUCAAUAAUAUUAGAGGCUAAGACCUACGGAUUUUUGACCAAGAAAUGGUCUCCACCAGAAAUCCAAGAAUGUGAUCUAUGGCAAGGAAACAUAUGUGGGGUGAGGUGUAUGAGCCUCUGGUCGAUGAUCAAUGGCCACACAACCCCCAUUUUUGUCGAAAAUAGCCAUGAAUGACCAUUUACAAUAAUACCGAAGGCUAACACCUACGGAUUUUUGACCAAGAAAUGGUCUCCACCAGAAAUCCAAGAAUGUGAUCUAUGGCAAGGAAACAUAUGUGGGGUGAGGUGUAUGAGCCUCUGGUCGAUAAUCAAUGGCCACACAACCCCCAUUUUUGUCGAAAAUAGCCAUGAACGACCAUUUUCAAUAAUAUCGAAGGCUAACACCUAUGGAUUUUUGACCAAGAAAUGGUCUCCACCAGAAAUCCAAGAAUGUGAUCUACGACAAGGAAACAUAUGUGGGGUGAGGUGUAUGAGCCUCUGGUCGACGAUCAAUGGCCACACAACCCCCAUUUUGCCGAAAAUAGCCAUGAAUGACCAUUUUCAAUAAUACCGAAGGCUAACACGUACGAGUUUUUAACCAAGAAAUGGUUUCCACCAGAAAUCCAAGAAUGUAAUCUAUGGCAAGGAAACAUAUGUGGGGUGAGGUUUAUGAGCCUCUAGUCGAUGAUAAAUGGCCACACAACCCCCAUUUUUUAUGAAAAUAGCCAUGAGCGACCUUGAAAAUAGCCAUGAGCGACCAUUUUCAAUAAUACUAGAGGCUAACACCUACGGAUUUUAGACCAAGAAAUGGUCUCCACCAGAAAUCCAAGAAUGUGAUCUAUGGCAAGGAAACAUAUGUGGGGUGAGGUGUAUGAGCGUCUGGUCGAUGAUCAAUGGCCACACAACCCCCAUUUUUGUCGAAAAUAGCCAUGAACGACCAUUUUCAAUAAUACCGAAGGCUAACACCUACGGAAUUUUGACCAAGAAAUGGUCUCCACCAGAAAUCCAAGAAUGUGAUCUAUGGCAAGGAAACAUAUGUGGGGUGAGGUGUAUGAGCCUCUGGUCGACGAUCAAUGGCCACACAACCCCCAUUUUUUAUGAAAAUAGCCAUGAGCGACCUUGAAAAUAGCCAUGAGCGACCAUUUUCAAUAAUACUAGAGGCUAACACCUACGGAUUUUAGACCAAGAAAUGGUCUCCACCAGAAAUCCAAGAAUGUGAUCUAUGGCAAGGAAACAUAUGUGGGGUGAGGUGUAUGAGCGUCUGGUCGAUGAUCAAUGGCCACACAACCCCCAUUUUUGUCGAAAAUAGCCAUGAACGACCAUUUUCAAUAAUACCGAAGGCUAACACCUACGGAUUUUUGACCAAGAAAUGGUCUCCACCAGAAAUCCAAGAAUGUGAUCUAUGGCAAGGAAACAUAUGUGGGGUGAGGUGUAUGAGCCUCUGGUCGAUGAUCAAUGGCCACACAACCCCCAUUUUUGUCGAAAAUAGCCAUGAACGACCAUUUUCAAUAAUAUCGAAGGCUAACACCUACGGAUUUUUGACCAAGAAAUGGUCUCCACCAGAAAUCCAAGAAUGUGAUCUACGACAAGGAAACAUAUGUGGGGUGAGGUGUAUGAGCCUCUGGUCGACGAUCAAUGGCCACACAACCCCCAUUUUGCCGAAAAUAGCCAUGAAUGACCAUUUUCAAUAAUAUCGAAGGCUAACACCUACGGAUUUUUGACCAAGAAAUGGUCUCCACCAGAAAUCCAAGAAUGUGAUCUACGACAAGGAAACAUAUGUGGGGUGAGGUGUAUGAGCCUCUGGUCGAUGAUCAAUGGCCACACAACCCCCAUUUUGCCGAAAAUAGCCAUGAAUGACCAUUUUCAAUAAUACCGAAGGCUAACACGUACGAGUUUUUAACCAAGAAAUGGUUUCCACCAGAAAUCCAAGAAUG
rnacentral:lncRNA from 1 species